UACGGGGGGAGCAAGCGUUGUUCGGAAUUACUGGGCGUAAAGGGCGCGUAGGCGGCCACCGCAAGUCGACUGUGAAAUCUCCGGGCUUAACCCGGAAAGGUCAGCCGAUACUGCGGGGCUAGAGUGCAGAAGGGGCAACUGGAAUUCUCGGUGUAGCGGUGAAAUGCGUAGAUAUCGAGAGGAACACCUGCGGCGAAGGCGGGUUGCUGGGCUGACACUGACGCUGAGGCGCGAAAGCUAGGGGAGCGAACAGG
rnacentral:rRNA from 1 species